AGGGCACCACCAGGAGUGGAGGCUGCGGCUUAAUUUGACUCAGCUCCGGUAAACUCACCCGGACCUGACACUGCAAGGCUUGACAGAGUGAUAGCUCUUUCUUGAUUCGGUGGGAGGUGUUGCAUGGCCGUUCUUAGUUGGUGGAGUGAUUUGUAUGGUUAAUUCCGAUAACAAACGCUACUCUAGUCUGCUUACUAUGUUUAUUUGCUGCUAUCAACUAUGUUAUGUGUGACCCGCAAAACGUUGCGGAUUAGCAGACGCACGAGACAUCACACAUUAGACUUCUUAGAGAGACUAGCGGUGUCUUUGCCAAACUAAUGAGAGUAAUAACGGGUCUGUGAUGUGCUUACAUGUCCGGGGACACCCGCGCGCUACACUGAAGAGUGAAGCGUGCUUCUAGUUACUCCUGCGCCCAAAGGCGUGAGCUGGCCCGUUGCAUCCCCUUUCGUGAUGGUGAUAGCGGCUUGACAUUGCUGCCCACUGAACGAGCAUGUCCCAAUAUGCGCGAUUCAUCCAGAU
rnacentral:rRNA from 1 species